CUAAUGCUAACCUAUAUACCUCAUGGAUCCAAAUCUGUACAGGCGUUCAGUAGUUAUGGUGGACUAAAGAAACUCACAUAAUAUUACAAGCAUAA